rnacentral:rRNA from 1 species
GACGUAGGAGGCGAGCGUUAUCCGGAUUCACUGGGCGUAAAGCGCAUGUAGGCGGUUGCACAAGUCCGUUGUUAAAGCCCCUGGCUCAACUGGGGGAGGUCAAUGGAGACUGUGCGACUUGAGGGCAGUAGAGGCACGUGGAACUCCCGGUGUAGCGGUGGAAUGCGCAGAUAUCAGGAGGAACACCGGUGGCGAAGGCGGAUCUCUGGGCCUGUCCUGACGCUGAGGCGCGAAAGCUAGGGGAGCGAACAGGAUAGAA